ensembl:snRNA U6 U6 spliceosomal RNA
UUACUUCUCAUUUUGGUAGCACAUAUAUUAAAAUUGGAACAGUACAGACAAAUUAGCACAGACCCUGAGCAAGGAUAUCAUGCAGAUUCAUGAAGUGUUCCAUAUUUUU